rnacentral:rRNA from 1 species
AAGCGGGAGCGACUUACCGGCGGACGGGUGAGUAACGCGUGGGUAACCUGCCCCAUACCGGGGGAUAACGGUUAGAAAUGACCGCUAAUACCGCUUAAGCGCACGAGGCCGCAUGGCCGCGCGCGAAAAACUCCGGUGGUAUGGGAUGGGCCCGCGUCUGAUUAGCUAGUUGGCGGGGUAAAGGCCCACCAAGGCGACGAUCAGUAGCCGACCUGAGAGGGUGGCCGGCCACAUUGGGACUGAGACACGGCCCAAACUCCUACGGGAGGCAGCAGUGGGGAAUAUUGCGCAAUGGGGGAAACCCUGACGCAGCAACGCCGCGUGAGUGAAGACGUAUCUCGGUAUGUAAAGCUCUAUCAGCGGGGAAGAAGGAAGACGGUACCCGACUAAGAAGCCCCGGCUAACUACGUGCCAGCAGCCGCGGUAAUACGUAGGGGGCGAGCGUUAUCCGGAUUUACUGGGUGUAAAGGGAGCGUAGACGGCGUCGCAAGUCUGAAGUGAAAGCCCGUGGCUCAACCGCGGAACCGCUUUGGAAACUGCGUGGCUGGAGUGCUGGAGAGGUAAGCGGAAUUCCUGGUGUAGCGGUGAAAUGCGUAGAUAUCAGGAGGAACACCGGUGGCGAAGGCGGCUUACUGGACAGUGACUGACGUUGAGGCUCGAAAGCGUGGGGAGCGAACAGGAUUAGAUACCCUGGUAGUCCACGCGGUAAACGAUGAGUGCUAGGUGUCGGGGGGCAAAGCCCCUCGGUGCCGCCGCAAACGC